ACGGUGACAGUACCCCGGGUGGGGCGAGAGCCAGUCAUGGCGGAGUCCUGGUCUGGGCAGGCCUUGCAGGCUCUGCCGGCCACGGUGCUGGGCGCGCUGGGCGCGCUAGGCAGCGAGUUCUUGCGGGAGUGGGAGGCGCAGGACAUGCGCGUGACCCUCUUCAAGCUGCUGCUGCUGUGGUUGGUGUUAAGUCUCCUGGGCAUCCAGCUGGCGUGGGGGUUCUACGGGAAUACAGUGACCGGGUUGUAUCACCGUCCAGUCCCUUAGGACCCUCACCAGACUUCACCAAACAAUACCAGUGGUCUGUAACCUGACCUGGGCUGAUGCCUGCUCAGAUUCCCACCCCAGCCUUCUGCAGCUCUGGAUGUGUUUCUGCCUCCAGGUCUGGGUGGUCAGAAUGGAUCCACGCCUGAUGGCUCCACGCAUUUCCCUUCGUGGUGAGUAAAUCUGUCCAUACCGCAACCCCAUGCUUGGCAUUCCAAGGACACUCCUGUGCUGGUGACAGAGAGGGGAGUUCUCAGGCUAUAAGCCCACCAGCUUAAUGGCCUUUGCAGCAAGCUUCAAGUCUGCACGUAGAGCUCAGGCUUCAAGUUAGGGUG
rnacentral:sRNA from 1 species